rnacentral:rRNA from 1 species
GACGAACGCUGGCGGCGUGCUUAACACAUGCAAGUCGAACGAAAAGAGGGAAAGAGCUUGCUCUUUCCGGAAUUGAGUGGCAAACGGGUGAGUAACACGUAAACAACCUGCCUUCAGGAUGGGGACAACAGACGGAAACGACUGCUAAUACCGAAAAAGUUCCAAGGGCCGCAUGGCCCAUGGAAGAAAAGGUGGCCUCUACCUGUAAGCUAUCGCCUGAAGAGGGGUUUGCGUCUGAUUAGCUGGUUGGAGGGGUAACGGCCCACCAAGGCGACGAUCAGUAGCCGGUCUGAGAGGAUGAACGGCCACACUGGAACUGAGACACGGUCCAGACUCCUACGGGAGGCAGCAGUGGGGAAUCUUCCGCAAUGGGCGAAAGCCUGACGGAGCAACGCCGCAUGAGUGAUGACGGCCUUCGGGUUGUAAAACUCUGUGAUCCGGGACGAAAAGGCAGAGUGCGAAGAACAAACUGCAUUGACGGUACCGGAAAAGCAAGCCACGGCUAACUACGUG